GGGAGCUUUCCCGCGGAUGGUUAUGGCGAUUCGUUGGCACCUGGAUGGCUAAGUCUUCAAGUUAUAAAACAAGAUCACAAGCCAAAAAGUAACAUAGGAAAUAAUAAAGACUGGAUCAUGUUAUCAGAUUUUACUGUUUCAUAUACAGAAGGCUAUCGGACUGUUUUGCCAGAUUCUAAAUGACAACUUUUAAGUCAGAGCCUUGAAAUCUAUAGAAGUCCAGUAUAUUCUGAGGUAUAUUGCAUACUAAUGGACAGCAGCAAGAGAUACAUCUGGUGGACUAAAAAGAUCCAGUGAAAAUUAAAAGACACAACACUCAGAACAACUGAUAGGAGGAAAAGAAGAAUUGAUAAUGGAUGGUGGCGUGUGAAGGAGGAGUAUGAGGUAUUUAUUCUUUG
rnacentral:lncRNA from 1 species